GCAGAGGAGGCCGCGCUGGUGCCGCCGGGCGCCGGCGACAUCUACUCGCCCCGUGCCGUCGUGCGCCCCAGGCGAUGCCUCGUCGAGAUUCGCUCUCCUACGCCCUAGCCGUUCCUCCGUCUCCCCGCACGCGCCGCUCACGGUCCAAGCUCCUGCGAAGUUAUUGCUGCGGCGGCGCCGGCGCGUCGGGACCGGAGCUGGGUGCCCUGAGAUGGUGACGGACCUUCAAUAUUCAGAUGGGCGAGGCGGCUAUCACGGGCAAGCUUCUGCUCCAUCAUUCUAGAGUGGGCUGCUUGGCUGCGGCUUUGCGAGCAAAGCAGAUCGGGCGGUCGGUCUCGGCGACGGAGACGCGAGCGCCGGUCGUGUUCUUGACCUCAGCAACGACAUGCCCAAGUGCAGAAACGACAUGAAUUCUCAGACAAAAACACACGCGAUGCAGUACCUGUACCAACACUCUAAUCUGGAGACUGGAGACUGCAACGACAUAAACAUUCAGGGAGUAGACAAGGGAAGAAAGGAGACCAAGCACAAGAAUGUAUCUGACGAAACGAAAUGCCCAGUCAUGAGCAGCUUGCUAUUCCACAUCCAGAAAACGCAGAAAUGUUUCUACGGCCGCAGCACAAGUGGGGCACCUUAUUGGACUGAUUUUUCAGACAACCAGAGAGACAUAAAGCUCAGAUCCGGUUACAGCAAGUUACCAAUGCCUCAGCCACUAGGUACAAGCACACAUCUUCAGCUUGUCAACAUCCGUAUCCCUGUACCCUCAAAAAAAAAAAACAUCCGUAUCCCUGUCUCCGAAA